ACUCCCAUCAUGGUGACAGUGCUGGCACGGCGGUCACGUUGCAGUGACACCCUUCACGGUGACACUGUUGGCACGGCGGUGCCAUCACGGUGACACUGUUGGCACGGCGAUGCCAUCACGGUGACACUGUUGGCACGGCGGUCACGUCACGGUGACCCCCAUCGUGGUGACAUUGCUGGUACAGCAGUGCUGGCACGGUGACACCCAUUGCAGCGACCAGGGGGUGGCACAGUAGUGUCGCGGUGACGCCCAUCGCGGUGACGCCGUGGGCACGGCGCUGCCACCACCCAGCGCGGCGUUGUCCCCUGCACCCGUGGCGGUGGUGCCCACCCGGCAUCACCCCGGUGCCGUCCAGCGGUGACGCCGGGCUCGGUGGUCCCAGUCCGGCUCUGCCGCCUGUCCCAGCCGUUGGCCGUGCCCGGUGCCGUCCCGGUGACGUUGGCGGUGCCGUCCCGGUGACGCCCUUAGGCCUCCGAGGCCGCUUGGGGUUUCAGCUGCGCCUUCUCCAUGGCCGUGCCGUAGGGCACCGAGCGUUUGAAGAAGCCAAGCUUGGGGGGG
rnacentral:lncRNA from 1 species